GAAAGUAAGCAAGGGCAGACGGUGGAUGCCUUGGCUCUCGGAGGCGACGAAGGACGUGAUAAGCUGCGAAAAGCUCGGGGGAGGCGCAAAUAGCCGUUGAUCCCGGGAUAUCCGAAUGGGGCAACCCGGCAGGCUGAAGGCCUGCCAUCCCGUAAGGGAGGCGAACGUGGGGAACUGAAACAUCUAAGUACCCAUAGGAGGAGAAAAUAAACAAUGAUUCCGUAAGUAGUGGCGAGCGAACACGGAAGAGCCCAAACCCAUGUCGUCUAGGCGACACGGGGGUUGUAGGACCACGACGUGGCAAGAUAGAGUCAAGUGGAACGCCUUGGAAAAGGCGAUCAUAGAGGGUGAAAAUCCCGUACACGACUGACGAUUGAAGCCUAGUGGCAUCCUGAGUAGCGCGGGGCACGAGAAAUCUUGCGUGAAACUGCGGGGCCCAUCCCGUAAGGCUAAAUACUCCCGAGAGACCGAUAGCGAACCAGUACCGUGAGGGAAAGGUGAAAAGAACCCCGAGCAGGGGAGUGAAAUAGACCCUGAACCCGUCUGCCUACAAGCGGUCGGAGCAUCGUCAAGAUGUGACGGCGUGCCUUUUGCAUAAUGAACCUACGAGUUACCUUCCCCGGCAAGGUUAAGUACCUAAGGUACGGAGCCGAAGCGAAAGCGAGUCUGAACAGGGCGGCCAGUCGGGGGGGGUAGACGCGAAACCGAGUGAUCUACCCUUGGCCAGGUUGAAGGUUGGGUAACACCAACUGGAGGACCGGAUGGGUAAGCGUUGAAAAGCUUUCCAAUGAGCUGAGGGUAGGGGUGAAAGGCUAAUCAAACUCGGAGAUAGCUCGUACUCCCCGAAAUGCAUUUAGGUGCAGCCUCUUUAUAGUAUAUCGUGAGGUAGAGCGACUGAUUGGAUGCGAGGGCUUCACCGCCUAUCAAGUCCAGAUAAACUCCGAAUGCGCGAUAUAUAUUUAAAGGGAGUGAGGGCGCGGGUGCUAAGGUCCGUGUCCGAGAGGAGAAGAAUCCAGACCACCGGCUAAGGCCCCCAAAUGAUCGUUAAGUUGAACUAACGAGGUCGGAUCGCAGAGACAGCUAGGAUGUUGGCUUGGAAGCAGCCAUUCAUUUAAAGAGUGCGUAACAGCUCACUAGUCGAGCGAUCUGGCGUGGAUAAUAAUCGGGCAUAAACGAUCUGCCGAAGCCGUGGAUGUCGUAAGACAUGGUAGGGGAGCAUUCCAUGCGGCGUCGAAGAUGAGGGAUGACCCUUGUUGGAGCGCAUGGAAAAGCAAAUGUAGGUAUGAGUAACGAUAAGGGGGGCGAGAAACCCCCCCGCCGAAAGACCAAGGUUUCCUGAUCAACGCUAAUCGGAUCAGGGUGAGUCGGGACCUAAGGCAAAGCCGAACGGCGCCGCCGAUGGAAGAAUGGGUUAAUAUUCCCAUACUGCCUCAUGGAGUGACGUGGAGACGGAGAAGUGACAGUCCUGCCGGCUGACGGAAUAGCCGGUUGAAGGGUGUAGAUAUUGAUUCCCGUAGGCAAAUCCGCGGGGAGAGUCGAACCUGAGAGUAUACCGAGUACUUGUACGAGGUAAUAUGGACGUAACCAUGCUCCCAAGAAAAUCCGCUAAACUUAUCCAUGCGGCACCCGUACCGUAAACGGACACACGUGGUCGGGUUGAGAAUACUGAGGCGCUCGAGUGAUUCACGGUUAAGGAACUAGGCAAAUUGACCCUGUAACUUCGGGAUAAAGGGUCCUCGUCGUAAGGCGAGGCGCAGAGAAUAGGUCCAGGCAACUGUUUAACAAAAACACAUGGCUGUGCUAAAUGGAAACAUGAUGUAUACAGCCUGACACCUGCCCGGUGCUGGAAGGUUAAGAGGAGAUGUCAUCGCAAGAGAAGCGUUGAAUUGAAGCCCCAGUAAACGGCGGCCGUAACUAUAACGGUCCUAAGGUAGCGAAAUUCCUUGUCGGGUAAGUUCCGACCUGCACGAAUGGUGUAAUGAUCUGGACACUGUCUCAACCGUGAGCUCGGUGAAAUUGUAGUAUCGGUGAAGAUGCCGAUUACCCGCGAUGGGACGAAAAGACCCCGUGAACCUUUACUAUAGCUUUACAUUGAAUUUGGGCAGACGAUGUGUAGGAUAGGCCGGAGGCUUUGAAGGGGGUACGCCAGUAUCCUUGGAGCCGCCGUUGAAAUACGGCCCUUCGGUUGUUUGAGUUCUAACUCCUAGGCAGGAGGACACUGUAUGGUGGGUAGUUUGACUGGGGUGGUCGCCUCCAAAAGCGUAACGGAGGCUUCUAAAGGUGCCCUCAGACCGAUUGGUAACCGGUCGCAGAGUGUAAUGGCAUAAGGGCGCUUGACUGGGAGACAUACAAGUCGAUCAGGUAGGAAACUAGAGCAUAGUGAUCCGGUGGUUCCGCAUGGAAGGGCCAUCGCUCAAAGGAUAAAAGGUACUCCGGGGAUAACAGGCUGAUCAUUCCCAAGAGCUCAUAUCGACGGAAUGGUUUGGCACCUCGAUGUCGGCUCGUCACAUCCUGGGGCUGGAGAAGGUCCCAAGGGUUGGGCUGUUCGCCCAUUAAAGUGGCACGCGAGCUGGGUUCAGAACGUCGUGAGACAGUUCGGUCUCUAUCUAUCGUGGGCGCAGGAGAUUUGAGGGGCUCUGACACUAGUACGAGAGGACCGUGUUGGACGUACCACUGGUUUACCGGUUGUCCCGCCAGGGGCACCGCCGGGUAUCUAAGUACGGAUCGGAUAAGUGCUGAAAGCAUCUAAGUACGAAGCCGGCCUCAAGAUUAGAUCUCCCUCAAGGGUGGUUAUAGACGAUGACCUUGAUAGGCCACAGGUGUAAGGGCGGCGACGUCCGAGCCGAGUGGUACUAAUAGCCCGGGACUUUCCUCA
rnacentral:rRNA from 1 species